rnacentral:rRNA from 1 species
AACGAACGCUGGCGGCAUGCCUAACACAUGCAAGUCGAACGAGACCUUCGGGUCUAGUGGCGCACGGGUGCGUAACGCGUGGGAACCUGCCCUUAAGUUCGGAAUACUCCCCGAAAGGGGUGCUAAUACCGGAUAAUGUCUUCGGACCAAAGAUUUAUCGCCUUUGGAUGGGCCCGCGUUGGAUUAGCUAGUUGGUAGGGUAAAAGCCUACUAAGGCGACGAUCCAUAGCUGGUCUGAGAGGAUGAUCAGCCACACUGGGACUGAGACACGGCCCAGACUCCUACGGGAGGCAGCAGUGGGGAAUAUUGGACAAUGGGCGAAAGCCUGAUCCAGCAAUGCCGCGUGAGUGAUGAAGGCCUUAGGGUUGUAAAGCUCUUUUACCCGGGAUGAUAAUGACAGUACCGGGAGAAUAAGCUCCGGCUAACUCCGUG